GUAGGGAAUAUUGGACAAUGGGGGGAACCCUGAUCCAGCCAUGCCGCGUGGAGGAAGACUGCCCUCUGGGUUGUAAACUCCUUUUAUAUGGGAAGAACCGUCCUCAUUAAUGAGUGACCUGACGGUACCAUAGGAAUAAGCACCGGCUAACUCCGUGCCAGCAGCCGCGGUAAUACGGAGGGUGCAAGCGUUAUCCGGAUUCACUGGGUUUAAAGGGUGCGUAGGCGGAUAAAUAAGUCAGUGGUGAAAUCAACGGGCUCAACCUGUUAACUGCCAUUGAUACUGUGUAGCUUGAAGAUGAGAGAGGUAGGCGGAAUGUUGCAUGUAGCGGUGAAAUGCUUAGAUAUGCUACGGAACACCGAUUGCGAAGGCAGCUUACUAUUUCGUAAUUGACGCUGAGGCACGAAAGCGUGGGUAGCGAACAGGAUUAGAAACCCCGGUAGUCC
rnacentral:rRNA from 1 species